ACUAGACUCCAAACAGAGCUAUACGCUCUGCUUCACGUAUCUCCGGAAGCAAGCAUAGGAUGAACAAAUCAGAAAAUCUAAUCGUCAAUAGACACAAAUCUAUCACUCCGAUAAAUACCAAUCUCCGCAGAUGCUGAUUUCUAUUUAUCUUAGUGCCAACAAGAAAGAGGAUUGUAUUAUCAUGGAUAACAACUGAACUAGCUCAGAGAGAUGUAUGACGGGUUGUCCUUGCAUCUUCACGCUUUUAGAGAUUGAUGAUGGAUGGACAUUGCUACAGAAAACUUUCAACAGGUAGCAGCUGAUGACUAUGGGGAGUUGAUGAUAGCACAAGAAGCACAUAGAAUCUGAACAUCACUCAAAUUUUGAAGCACAACCUGGUCACCUCCUGACCCCCACCAAUUUUGCAUUCCUCGCCAUGCCCCUGAGGUCCGAGCACCUUGGGAACGGCCGAGAAAUCAACAUUUAUGUCAGACCAACAUGAAGGUUUUCAGGUCCUGUACGAUUUUGAUUGUGUCCACACCAGAGCUGUCAGAAUGACGCUUGUCUCCUUCAUGAGAAAGAAAGAAGGUGAAAUCACAGUAAGGUAAAUAGUGGUAGGUAAUCUGGCAAACCAGGCUACUCCGGGCUCAAGUCAAAUCUACCAUUAGUGGUCGAUCGGAUUUCGUCCUCACAGCAAUUGCAGCCGUGCAUUUGAAACAUAUUUGUACAUGUAUGUUUUCAUCAUUCAUGGGAAGAUAUUCCCAAUGCACGGCUGAAGUGUUGUGAGAAUGGUGUGAGGAUAAAUUUUCUGAGAAUGAAAUUGGAAUUCUAGUGGUAAUAGUGGUGGUAAUUUCUAGUCUAAGACCAACCCAGAAGAUUUCAAGAUUUCCACACUACAGCUGUACAUUGGGAACAUGAGAUACUACAGCUGUAGUGUCAUGUGGGUAGGAUUUUUGUGAGCAGGAGAUCUGAAUUAUUAUUAUUAUUUUUUUUGUGGUGGAAAUCCUGAUUUUAAUAGUUAGUGAUAAUUUCCUUAUGCAUGGCUGAAGUGUUGUGAGGAUAGUGUAAGGACAAAAUUUGUGAGGAUAAAAUCUGAAUUUUAAUAGUAGUACACUAGUACCGUAGUAGUAGUAGUUUCUAGCCUAGGCCGACCCACAGGACAGGCCUGAAUCUGGACUAACAGACCUAGGUGCGCCCAACUGCCCAUUGAGGAGGGCUUUUUGGCAGCAUUUUCUGGCUUUGUGAUGUUGGCCCCACAUGGAAAGUCAAAAAGCUAUGUUCGUGAAAUUCCGGAAAUCCAAUUUUGGUGUCGUUGAACCCACGGUUUUUAAAACCGAACCG